CAGCUUCUCUGUGGAGGAAACGAUGGAGUCGAAGUCGUCUACAUAUUACACACACACACACCCACACACACAUUACAUACAGGAAUAACCGGUCUCUCGACAUGUCACAUGAUCACACGAGCAUGACAUCAAUAUGAAUGUCCACGCCCACUUUCACAGAGACAUGUGCAUGAAAAGCAUCCCUAGCCUGAACCCUGAGAAGAAUCAGAUGAAGGUGAAGGAGAAGAUCUGUGAGAGCAGAACUGACUGUGUGCUGGGCCCGGCCGGUCUCUCUGGUCGCUCGGGUCGCUUCGGGGGCAGGGACGCGGGUCGGUUCAGGGAGUUGUUGCUCUUCGGGGGUAAAGGCUUCUUCGGUGGAAAGACAGGAAGCACUGGCUUCUGGAUCUCGACCAACUUGAUUUCAUCACCUAGACAUCAUCAUCAUCAUCAUUAUCCUCAUCAUUAUCCUCAUCAUCCUCCUUCUCCUCAUCAUCAUUCUCCUUCUCAUCAUCAUCAAAAGAGUCAUAGAUUCUGCUUGUGAAAGCAUUCUAACGGACAGAAAAGUGUGUGUGGAUUUAUUUCAUCCAGCAAGCACGACUCUCACACUCUAGUGAGUUAGGGCCAGUCUCUCGCUCUCUCGCUCUCUUGUUCACAGACGCACACACACACGUGUUAUAGCAGCCAGAACGUAACAAACAGG